CACGGUGAAACCUCAUGUCUACUAAAAAUACAAAAUUAGUUGGGUGUGGUGGUGUAUGCCUGUAAUCCCAGCUACUCGGGAGGCUGAGGCAGGAGAAUCGCUUGAACCCUGGAGGUGGCAGAGGUUGCAAUUAGCUGAGAUCGUGCCACUGCACUCCAGCCUGGGUGACACAGCAAGACUCUGUCUCAAAAAAAAAAAAAAUCCUAUCCCUGCCAGCUGCCGUGGCACACACCUGAAAUUGCACCACUUUGGGAGGCAGAGGAGAGGGCUAUUACUAGAGCUCCAGAGUUCGAGACCAGCCUGGGCAACAUGGUGAAACCCCGUCUACAAAAAAAUACAAAAAUGUACUGGGUGUGGUGGUGUACUUGUAGUCUCAGCUACUUGGGAGGCUGACGUGGGAGGAUCACCUGAGCCUGGGAGUUCAAAGCUACAGCGAGCUGUGAUUGCACCACUACACUGCAGCCUGGGUGAUGGAACAAGACCUCCCAAAAAAAAAAAAAAAAAAAAAAAACAGGCCGGUCACGGUGACUCACGCAUGUAAUCCCAGCACUUUGGGAGUCCAAGGAGGGUGGAUCACUUGAGGCCAGCACGAGACCAGCCUGGCCAACAUGGCAAAACCCCGACUCUACUAAAAAUACAAAAAUUAGCCGGGUAUGGUUGUGCACCCCUGUAAUCCCAGCUGCUUGGGAGGCUGAGACAGGAGAAUCGCUUGAACUCGGGAGUCUGAGGUUGCAGUGAACUGAGAUCGUGCCAUUGCACUCCAGCCUAGGCGACAGAACAAGACUCUAUCUCACAACAAACAAACAAAAAAAACCAUCAUCCCUAUUUUGCUCUAAGAAGCAAAACAAGGUAUAGCCUGUGAUUAGGCCAGUCCUUAUUUUGAAGAAGCCCACCUGAGGCUGAAGCAGGAGGAUUGCUUGAGCCUGGGAGGUAAGAUUGUGCACACACAAUCUGCCUACUUGACAAUCUGAAGUAGAAACCCAGCAUAGAAGGACUGAGUAGUUCUGGAUUUGUGCUGCCAAGGCUGGUUUAAUAUAUGGAAUAAAGGCUUAAGGAUCAUAUAUGGAAAGACAGAUAUGUAACCAAUGAUAAUUCAUUGUGAAAAGUCUGUGGUAGAGUUUGCACAGAAUCUUAUGGGAGCACAGAGGAGGAGAUAAUGACUUGUUUUGGGUUGUAAUAAUGCUGUAACAGUUCCAAUAUAGGUCAAUGCUCAAGUAUUUUUAGUUGCAAUGAAACUCAUAGGAAAAUAACAAUGGAACAGAUUUACUUGGGCAAUUAUAAGUGCGUUCAUUUUCUUUCUUUUUUUUUAACGUGGGUUCGUUUUCACCUUGACAUUGCACCUAGUAAAAUUUUCUGGAAUCUUUUCUAAUUAUCAGAAUGUAUAAAAUACAUAGAAGUUUGUGAAUCAAAGUUGUGGUUCUUGGCUGGCUGUGGCAGCUCACACCUGUAAUCUCAACGCUUUGGGAGGCUGAGGUGGCUGGAUUGCUCAAGCUCAGGAGUUUGAGACCAGCCUGGGCAACAUGGUGAAACCCUGUCUCUAUGAAAAAUUUUUUAAACAUUAGCCAGGCAUGGUGGCAUGCACCUGUGGUCCCAGCUUGUUCAGGAGGCUGAGGGGAGAAUCCCUUGAACCUGGGAGGCAGAGGUUGCUGUGAGCCAAGAUCACGCCACUGCACUUCAGCCUGGGUGACACAGUGAGUCCUUGUCUCCAAAAAAAAAAAAAAAAAAAAUUGUAGUUCUUUAUUUGUAAUGGUGAAAGGUUAUGACUUUUUCAAUGAGAUAGAAAAUAGCAAAGAUCAUGGAUCAGGAAAAAAAUUUAAAAGGAGUUCAAAAUGCACCUGGCCAACAUAGUGAUACCCUAUCUCUACAAAAGAAAAAUAAAAUUAGCUAGGCAUGGUAGUGUACAGCUGUAGUUCCAGCUACUUGGAAGGCUGAGGCAGGAGGAUUGCUUGGGCCCAGGAGUUCAAGGCUGCAGUGAGCCAUAAUUGUGCCACCGCACUCCAGCCUGGGUAGCAGAGUGAGACCCUGUCUUAAAAAAAACAAAAAGGAAAGAAAAAAGAAAGAAAAGAAAAAAUAGGCACAAGGAAAGCUAUAGGCAAUAUAAUAUAUAAUAAUGAUAACUCUUGAGCCAUCUGAUAGAACUACCAUUAUCCUAAGUGAUCCCAUAUACCGCCAACCUCCCACCAAACAUUUUAUUUAAAAUGUGCAAAUGACACAUUUUUAACUUAGAAUGCAACAUAUAUGGUGAGGCCAUCUACUGAGCUUAACAAAUACUGAGGAAUUUGUGUCCAACUUUUUAUUUAUUAAGGUUGAUGUAUCUAUAAGAUGUUCAGGUAGCUAUAGUCCCAGCUACUCUGGAAGCUGGGCAGAGGUAGGAGGAUUUCUUGAGCUGAGUUGUUUUGAUCCAGCCUGGGAAACAUAGCAAGACCCCAUAUCUUAAAAUAAAUAAAUAAAUAAAUAUAUACACACACACAUACAUAUAUAUUAUAUCAUAUUAUACAUAAUACAUAAUAUAUAACAUGUAUAAUACAUUAUAAUAUAUACAAAAUAUAUAUUAUGUAUACAUAUACCCACACACAUAUAUAUGUUCAGGAAGACAUGGGAAAAAGCUUUAAGACUAAGGAAAUAACCUGAUAAUUGUUGAUAGGUAACGAUAAGAGAGUAUAGUAUAUCGAAAGAGAGAAAGAAUAUUGCUAUGGUUUGAAUGUUUGUCCCCUCUGAAACUCAUGUUGAAACUUAGGCUGGGCACAGUGGCUCAUGCCUGUAAUCCCAACACUUUGGAAGGCCAAGGUGAGAGGAUCUCUUGAGCCCAGGAGUUCAAGAUCACCCUAGGCAACAUAGUAAGACCCUGUCUCUACAAAAAAUUUUAAAAAUUUGCUGAAUGUGGUGGCACAAACCUGUAGUCCCAGCUACUUGGAAGCCUGAGGUGAGAGAAUCAUUUGAGCCCAAGAGUUUGCAGUGGCAGUGAGCUGUGAUCAUGCCAUUGCACGCCAGCCUGAAUGAUACAGUGACUGUCUCAACGGAAAAAAAAUGAAAAGAACCUUAAUCCAUAGUGUAACAGUGUUAGGAGGUGGUGCUUUUAAAAGGUGAUUGGGUCAUGAAGGCUCUGACCUCAUGAAUAGAUUAAUCUAUUCAUGUGUUAAUGUAUUAAUGAAUUAUCAUGGGAGUGGGUGAGUUAUCAUGGGAGUGGGUCUGUUAUAAAAGGCCAGGUUGACUCUCUCUCCUGAGCUCCCUAGCCACGUGAUGCCCUGUGCUGCCUCAGGACUCUGCAGAGGGCCCCCACCAGCAAGAAGACCCUCACCAGAUAUAGCCUUCAACCUUGGACUUCCCAGCCUCCAGAGCUGUACAAAGUAAAUUUAUUUUUCUUAUAAAUUACCCCAUCUGAGAUAUUAAGUUGUAGCAACAGAAAAUGGACUAAGACAAAUGUGUAAUUCAAGAGAAAAGAAAAAGAGAUCACAUUAUAAUCUGCCCCCUAAGAUCUCUUAUAAUGAUUUGUUAUAAUUUAUAUUAUAGUGUAAUAUACAGUAGUCACCCCUUAUCUGCUAUUUCACUUUCUGCAGUUUCAGUUACUCACAGUCAACUGGGGUCCAAAAAUAUUAAAUGGAAAAUUCCAAAAAUAAAUUCAUAAGUUUUAAAUUGCCCGUCAUUCUGAGUAGUGUGAAAAAAAUCUCACAUGGUCCCACUCCAUUCUGCUCUGUCCUGCCCAGGACAUGAAUCAUCUUUUUGUACAGUUUGUCUACAUUGUAUACACUCAUUACUGUAUAUCAAAAAAUAUGCUAUAUGUAGGGUUUGAUGCUAUCUGAGGUUUCAGGCAUCCACUGAGAGUCGUGGAAUGUAUCCGCCACAGAAAAGGAGGGACUGCUAUAUACGGAUGCCUUAUCUCCCAAACUGGUCCAUAAGUUUUUUGUGUUUUUUUUUUUGAGAUGGAGCCUCGCUCUGUCCCCCAGGGUA
rnacentral:lncRNA from 1 species